GAUGACCUAACUUCUUCCCUCACAGCCACCGCCUUCAAGAAAAUUUCCUCCAUCGAAGCGGGGCGCAUGCGCAUCCAGUAGCGACGACGGAAGUUCGAUCGAGAAGAUGGCAGAAAACCAUGCAGCGGUGAAGGAAGAAUCGACGGUCGAUCAAUCGAAGAAAGCCAAGAAGUCACUUAUCGAAACUGGUAUCAUGCUUUCAAUUGGUAUUAUUUUUAUGAUAAUCAGCUUCUUUGUACCGGGAUAUCCAAACAGCAACAGAUCAUGUGCUGGCAGAACGCGAUUUUUGCUUUUGGUGCGACUAUCUUGUUUGUCCGUAUGCAUUUGAUGGAGUUCCGUUGGCCCCAAAAGCCAUCACCAAUUUCUCAAAUCUGAACCAGUAUUAACGGAAGCCGCUUGUAUGUAAACCAAUUUUCGUUUUGACAGCAACUAGUGCUGCCCAAUAAUGUAAUCUGUGUUGUUGUCUCGUCAAUCUUAUUCUGAAAUGAAUGUUGUUCGCUUAAUGUUUUUAGAUUUGUACUUCAUCUCUCUUUUUUCCUUGGCGAUUAAGAGUCGAAUUCCCAACAACAGCG
rnacentral:lncRNA from 1 species